UACGAAGGGGGCUAGCGUUGUUCGGAAUUACUGGGCGUAAAGCGCGCGUAGGCGGACGUUUAAGUCAGGGGUGAAAUGCCGGGGCUCAACCUCGGAACUGCCUUUGGUACUGGACGUCUGGAGUUCGGGAGAGGUGAGUGGAAUUCCGAGUGUAGAGGUGAAAUGCGUAGAGAUCCGGAGGAACACCAAAGGCGAAGGCAGUGUCCUGGGGAGUACCUGACGCUCAGGUGCGAAAGCCAGGGGAGCGAACGGG
rnacentral:rRNA from 1 species